CAGUAGCCGCGGGAAUACGGAGGGUGCAAGCGUUAUCCGGAUUCACUGGGUUUAAAGGGUGCGUAGGCGGAUCUGUAAGUCAGUGGUGAAAUCUCCAGGCUUAACCUGGAAACUGCCGUUGAUACUAUAGGUCUUGAAUUUUGUGGAGGUUAGCGGAAUAUGUCAUGUAGCGGUGAAAUGCAUAGAUAUGACAUAGAACACCAAUUGCGAAGGCAGCUGGCUACACAACUAUUGACGCUGAGGCACGAAAGCGUGGGGAUCAAACAGGAUUAGAUACCCCCGUAGUCCCUGUCUCUUAUAC
rnacentral:rRNA from 1 species